CUCUUUUCAAGUCCAGCACACGACUUAAAAACUUGCCUUUGAAAAUGAAUUCGUAGACAUUGAUUUUAGCUGUUUCAGGCAUACCUUUACAGUUUCUAUAUGAUAGCACUCAAACCAUUUAAAUAACUGGACUGUGACAUUACAUCGGAGGUUUCCAAAAAAGUGCAGGAAGAGUUUAAAAGACGAAAGAAGAAUUUUUUCCCUGCUAUCCUGAACUAAGUUAGAUUAUACAGUCUUUCUGGACUAUAGCUAUUCUGAGGCAGAUUGCUGUGCAGAGCAGCGCUACUCAAAGUGUGGACUGUGGACCAGCGGUGCCAGCACCAUCUCACCUCUCAUCACCUGGAGUCCCACUCCAGCCCUACUGGAUCCAAUUCUUCAAGGGCAGGGCCCAGGAAUCGGUACUUUAAUGGGCAUACAGGAGGUGGGAGACCAGCAGACACAGUGGAGAAAAAAAAAAUCGUCUGGACAGUGGUGGUUGUGUGCCAAAAAUAACAAGUGACAUUUUGGAGAAACACCUUAGCUGAUCAAUCAAGACUGAGAUGCCCAUGGGAGAACAGGGGAUGACAGUGACUUCUGUACUGCAGUCCAGUGGAGCACCCCCACCAAUGGAGCCAACAAACUGUAAAACAUGUGGCCCCAUGGCCUAAAGAAAGGAUGGGUUAGUCAUUGAGGAAUUAAACCAUGAGCCAGCAUUGAGCAUCACCUCUG